rnacentral:rRNA from 1 species
UACGUAGGGUGCAAGCGUUGUCCGGAAUUAUUGGGCGUAAAGAGCUCGUAGGCGGCUUGUCGCGUCGGCUGUGAAAUCCCGAGGCUCAACCUCGGGCCUGCAGUCGAUACGGGCAAACUAGAGUGUGGUAGGGGAGACUGGAAUUCCUGGUGUAGCGGUGAAAUGCGCAGAUAUCAGGAGGAACACCGGCGGCGAAGGCGGGUCUCUGGGCCAUAACUGACGCUGAGGAGCGAAAGCGUGGGGAGCGAACAGG